UACGAAGGGGGCUAGCGUUGCUCGGAAUUACUGGGCGUAAAGGGCGCGUAGGCGGCACUGUUAGUCAGGCGUGAAAGUCCUGGGCUCAACCUGGGAACUGCGCUUGAUACGGCAGAGCUAGAGGAUGGAAGAGGCUCGCGGAAUUCCCAGUGUAGAGGUGAAAUUCGUAGAUAUUGGGAAGAACACCGGUGGCGAAGGCGGCGAGCUGGUCCAUUACUGACGCUGAGGCGCGACAGCGUGGGGAGUAAACAGG
rnacentral:rRNA from 1 species